rnacentral:rRNA from 1 species
UACGGAGGAUCCGAGCGUUAUCCGGAUUUACUGGGCGUAAAGGGUGCGUAGGCGGUCUUUCAAGUCAGGAGUGAAAGGCUACGGCUCAACCGUAGUAAGCUCUUGAAACUGGGAAACUUGAGUGCAGGAGAGGAAAGUGGAAUUCCUAGUGUAGCGGUGAAAUGCGUAGAUAUUAGGAGGAACACCAGUAGCGAAGGCGGCUUUCUGGACUGUAACUGACACUGAGGCACGAAAGCGUGGGGAGCAAACAGGAUUAGAUACCCGGGUAGUCCCUGAGCGGG